CGGAAGGAUCAUUGCCCACACACGCUUUGUUCGUUUGCAGUAAACUUGCCGGCCGACUGACGAGACGAUUUUGGUUUGUUUUGUUCGGUUCGGUUCGGUUUGGUUUGGAGAGAACUGUCACACUGUCCCCGCCUGAACCGCGUGAUUAAUGAGUUCGGCGCGGUCCCGGUCGCUCGGGUCCGCCGCUCGUUCCUCUUUUGACCGAUGGCGCAAUGCAUCGACCUUUGACUUUUCUGACUGAGUCCCGGAACGACUUUGAAUAGGGUGGUGGUUGAUUGGUCGGUCGGUGGGGGG
rnacentral:misc_RNA from 1 species